rnacentral:lncRNA from 1 species
ACUUCCGUGCUAGGUUGCCUAGUAGUUCCACAUGUGGUGAAAGUGGUGUUCAACAUUCCUGGGUUCAACAUUGUGGUGAAAGUGGUGUUCCAAUCAGUGUUGUCAUUGUUGCCGCAGAACUAAACGCGCCACCACCAAACCCUCAGGCCACCAUGUCGCUGUCACCAUCAUCAACACAUACCUACAAUUCGAAGCAGAGAAAAACAACAGAAAACCCAGAAAUCAAACCCUAGCCACCAUGAAACCCUAAACCGUGUCGCCAGUAAUCAAGGCAAAAUCUCCACCAUGUGUUGCGCCUCACACCGUUGAGCAAGAACCGAAUCGAAAUCUCUAACUUGCAAACCAGAAAUUCUAACCCAAAUAUGAACAAGAAAUUCGCAAUCGCGACACCUAGAAACCCAAUUCACACCUGUAGCAAAUCAUAAACAUACAUAAUCACUACCCAAAUCGUUGAAACCCUAGUUCACAAGCAGUAUCCAUAGGCACCAACUUGCAAAUUGCACAAGCCAGAAACACAUAAGCAAUGUGAAGGUGAAGCUCAAUGUUUACGUUCAGGUGUUUAUAUGUAAUGUUAAAUUUAGUUUCCCCUUUGGUCAAAAAAUGUGCAAUGUGGUACCCUUUUGAAUUUAAAACUGUGUACUUUGGUCCCAAAUGGAUAUCAACGAAAAACACAUGAUAGAUAUCUGACUUAGUUUCCACCUCCAGUCCACCAUCUUUGUCCACCUCUACUCCACCCACCAUCCACCUCCUCUUCACCAUUAGUUUCCACCUCUAGUCCAUUAUCUCUGUCCACUUCCACUCCACCAUCCACUUCUUCUCCAUCAUCACUUUCCACCUCCACUCCACCCUCUAUUUCCACCUCAAACCCUAACCGCCAAAUCCAACAACAAGAACAUCAAGUAAGUAGGCUAGGGUUAGCAACACUUACCUCAUUUAAAUACGCUCUUCAAAUUUGACCUUCAAUGAAUCACCACGCCUUAUAUAAGACCAGUUUUACCACAUUGUUAAACCCAUAAAUUGCAAUGGGAUUCUUAGAUAACCAUAAUUUGAUUUAAACAACAAUUUUUUAUACCCCUAAAAUCAUCGUCAAUCGAAGAAAAUAUCUAUACAUAACACAAAAUCAAAUUAAACCCUAACCCCCAAAUCACUAACGUACGAUGUUCCACUUACACCUUCAAGGAAUCAGUAGCAGAAUCACCAACAAUAACCAGUUUCACAAGAACGAAAAACCCAGAAAUGACAUUUUUUACUUUAACCCAGUAGAAUCAGAUAAGGGUUUUUAA